rnacentral:other from 1 species
AUUGUGGAAUGGGGUGCGAGACCCUCGAGCCGAUAAGUACUACUUUGGGGCCAGAAACUAUUUGUGGUGAGCACCUCGCUUAUGUCCGAGGAGCCUAAACUUAUAGAGAAGGCCGCCACCUUGAACCUCCGGGUUCAGGGACCGCAGCCCCAUUUCACUUCU